rnacentral:rRNA from 1 species
GUGCCAGCAGCCGCGGUAAUACGUAGGUGGCAAGCGUUAUCCGGAAUUAUUGGGCGUAAAGCGCGCGUAGGCAGUUUUUUAAGUCUGAUGUGAAAGCCCACGGCUCAACCGUGGAGGGUCAUUGGAAACUGGAAAACUUGAGUGCAGAAGAGGAAAGUGGAAUUCCAUGUGUAGCGGUGAAAUGCGCAGAGAUAUGGAGGAACACCAGUGGCGAAGGCGACUUUCUGGUCUGUAACUGACGCUGAUGUGCGAAAGCGUGGGGAUCAAA